rnacentral:lncRNA from 1 species
CUACCCAUUGAAUAAUUUAAUUUUAUUCUUUUUGCAAUCUAACAUAUUUAAAUCGAACAGAGCAAGAACAUGUGUAUGUAAAUUUUUUUUUUCCUUUAAUCUCUUCCGGUGACUGUGUCACUGGAUCUGAGGAUAAUUUUUCUCUUCUUCAAUAACUCAAGAAAGCUUUUGUUUCAAAUCUUUAGGGAUCUUAUUGAGAAAACUUUUGAUUUGGCUUAUUCUACUAGUUUGAGUUCAAAUUAAAAACCUAAAUCCCCAAAUUUCUAUGUUUAUCAAAGAAUCCGAAGCCGGCGAUUUGGAGAUUGGCGAGAAGAGGAGGUGACUGAGCACGCCAAUGGAGAUUUGGAGAUUUCUAUUGAUUCUGAAGCUUUUACAUUGAACC